UACGUAGGGUCCGAGCGUUGUCCGGAAUUAUUGGGCGUAAAGAGCUCGUAGGCGGUUUGUCGCGUCUGCUGUGAAAUCCCGAGGCUCAACCUCGGGCCUGCAGUGGGUACGGGCAGACUGGAGUGCGGUAGGGGAGAAUGGAAUUCCUGGUGUAGCGGUGGAAUGCGCAGAUAUCAGGAGGAAUACCGAUGGCGAAGGCAGGUCUCUGGGCUGACACUGACGCUGAGGAGCGAAAAGCAUGGGGGAGCGAACAGG
rnacentral:rRNA from 1 species